GGUGAGCCUGAGAGCAAAGUUCUUCAUGAGCAGAGCACGGGGAGAAUGCGGGAACGUUCCAUCCGCCACAGCGCACACGAUACUGCUGAGAGACAACGGUGGUUCUCGAGUUACCGUAAAGAUGUGAGAGCUUAAUAAAGGAAGCCGGAUAGGCUUCACUCAGCAAGCAAGCCGGUGGGGGAGACAGAGAAGGUGACAUCGGAGUCCUAAUCUUCCUGCCCAGCGCCUGGGCCAUCUGAAUAAGAGAUGCUGGGAAAUCAGGAAACCUGACUUUAAGUCCUGGCUCUGGUUAAGCACUGAAUUACCGUCCAUCAGCACUGUGGUCCAUCAGCCGGGUUCAGGAUCGCUGCUGACGGCUGGACGCUCGCCUCCUCCCUGCCCUUCUCCGUGAUGCGCACACCCCCCCUCAAAAUGACAUGCCGUGGUGCGCACGUGCAGCAAACAAA